rnacentral:rRNA from 1 species
AUUGAACGCUGGCGGCAUGCCUUACACAUGCAAGUCGAACGGUAGGGGGAGCAAUCCCCCGAGAGUGGCGAACGGGUGAGUAACGCAUCGGAACGUGCCCAGUAGUGGGGGAUAGCCCGGCGAAAGCCGGAUUAAUACCGCAUACGACCUAUGGGUGAAAGCGGGGGACCGUAAGGCCUCGCGCUAUUGGAGCGGCCGAUGUCAGAUUAGGUAGUUGGUGGGGUAAAAGCCUACCAAGCCGACGAUCUGUAGCUGGUCUGAGAGGACGACCAGCCACACUGGGACUGAGACACGGCCCAGACUCCUACGGGAGGCAGCAGUGGGGAAUUUUGGACAAUGGGCGCAAGCCUGAUCCAGCCAUGCCGCGUGCGGGAAGAAGGCCUUCGGGUUGUAAACCGCUUUUGUCAGGGAAGAAAUCUUUUGGGCUAACACCUCGGAAGGAUGACGGUACCUGAAGAAUAAGCACCGGCUAACUACGUGCCAGCCGCCGCAGUAACAC